UNUGACUUGAGUGCAGAAGGGGAGAGUGGAAUUCCAUGUGUAGCGGUGAAAUGCGUAGAUAUAUGGAGGANCACCAGUGGCGAAAGCGGCUCUCUGNUCUGUCACUGACGCUGAGGCUNGAAAGCGUGGGUAGCGAACAGGAUUAGAUACCCUGGUAGUNCACGCCGUAAACGAUGAGUGCUAGGUGUUAGGCCCUUUCCGGGGCUUAGUGCCGGAGCUAACGCAAUAAGCACUCCGCCUGGGGAGUACGACCGCAAGGUUGAAACUCAAAGGAAUUGACGGGGGCCCGCACAAGCGGUGGAGCAUGUGGUUUAAUUCGAAGCAACGCGAAGAACCUUACCAGGUCUUGACAUCCCGAUGCUAUUCUUAGAGAUAGGAAGUUACUUCGGUACAUCGGAGACAGGUGGUGCAUGGUUGUCGUCAGCUCGUGUCGUGAGAUGUUGGGUUAAGUCCCGCGACGAGCGCAACCCUUAUUGUUAGUUGCCAUCAUUAAGUUGGGCACUCUAGCGAGACUGCCGGUAAUAAACCGGAGGAAGGUGGGGAUGACGUCAAAUCAUCAUGCCCCUUAUGACCUGGGCUACACACGUGCUACAAUGGUCGGUACAACGAGUUGCGAGCCGGUGACGGCAAGCUAAUCUCUGAAAGCCGAUCUCAGUUCGGAUUGGAGGCUGCAACUCGCCUCCAUGAAGUCGGAAUCGCUAGUAAUCGCGGAUCAGCACGCCGCGGUGAAUACGUUCCCGGGCCUUGUACACACCGCCCGUCACACCACGAGAGUUUGUAACACCCGAAGUCGGUGAGGUAACCUUUUAGGGGCCAGCC
rnacentral:rRNA from 1 species